rnacentral:lncRNA from 1 species
UGCACGCCCUGCAGAAUACCUGCCAAGCUUGCUAUACCCAGCCUGUCCCAGGCCUCACCCCCAUUUAGACCAAUACAGCCAGCAGGUAGGGAGCUAUAAAGGAGUCAGGAGUAUUGAUUGCGCACCUUAUCCAAGCCAGGCUCCUUAAUCUCACAGCUGGCCCAGCCUCUAGCUGCUGACUCAGUCUCCGGCACAAUCCUCCACACCUGUAUCAGGGUUUCUGGACCUCGGCUGCCGGCGCCCUCGCCCUCGGACUCCCCAGCUCGGCUCCCUUGCUCUCCUGGCACCUGGACGGUCAGCGCCCAGCUCCCACCUGCGGAGCUCGGCACCACCCUGGCCUCAAAGGGAAGGACUGUCAUGGGAGCCCACUCCGCCAGCCAUCCGGCUCACGGG